AAAUAUAUUGUUAGCCUAUAACGGAGGCAAAUUGACUUCAAAUUUAAUUGAUUCCAACUCAUACAUAAAAAUAUAGUUUCAAUUAAAGAUUUAAGAACAAAAACAAUCAAAUAGAGAGGUUUUUGUAAGUCAAUUAAACUAAAUAAUUGAACUAAUUCAUUUUAUGAAAUGAUCCAAUAAAAAGGAUAAGAGAAUAUAAUAAAAAG
rnacentral:lncRNA from 1 species